rnacentral:rRNA from 1 species
AUACGGAGGGUGCAAGCGUUAUUCGGAAUCACUGGGCGUAAAGGGUGCGUAGGCGGUUUGAUAAGUCUGAUGUGAAAUCCUAUGGCUCAACCAUAGAACUGCAUUGGAAACUGUCAGACUAGAAUACUGAAGGGGCAGAUGGAAUUAGUGGUGUAGGGGUAAAAUCCGUAGAUAUCACUAGGUAUACCGAAAGCGAAAGCGAUCUGCUGGGAAGUUAUUGACGCUGAGGCACGAAAGCGUGGGGAGCAAACGGGAUUAGAAACCCUAGUAGUCC